rnacentral:rRNA from 1 species
AUUGAACGCUGGCGGCAUGCCUUACACAUGCAAGUCGAACGGUAACAGAUCUUCGGAUGCUGACGAGUGGCGAACGGGUGAGUAAUACAUCGGAACGUGCCUAGUAGUGGGGGAUAACUACCCGAAAGAGUGGCUAAUACCGCAUGAGAUCUACGGAUGAAAGAAGGGGAUUGCAAGACCUUGUGCUACUAGAGCGGCCGAUGGCAGAGUAGGUAGUUGGUGGGAUAAAAGCUUACCAAGCCGACGAUCUGUAGCUGGUCUGAGAGGACGAUCAGCCACACUGGGACUGAGACACGGCCCAGACUCCUACGGGAGGCAGCAGUGGGGAAUUUUGGACAAUGGGCGCAAGCCUGAUCCAGCAAUGCCGCGUGCAGGAUGAAGGCCUUCGGGUUGUAAACUGCUUUUGUACGGAACGAAAAGCCCUGGGUUAAUACCCUGGGGUCAUGACGGUACCGUAAGAAUAAGCACCGGCUAACUACGUGCCAGCCGCCGCCGUAACAC